UGGGGGAUAUUGCACAAUGGGUGAAAGCCUGAUGCAGCGACGCCGCGUGGGGGAUGAAGGCUUUCGGGUUGUAAACCUCUUUCGCUAUCGAACAAGGCCCGCUUAGGGUGGGUUGAGGGUAGGUGGAGAAGAAGCGCCGGCUAACUACGUGCCAGCAGCCGCGGUAAUACGUAGGGCGCGAGCGUUGUCCGGAAUUAUUGGGCGUAAAGGGCUUGUAGGCGGCUUGUUGCGCCUGCUGUGAAAACGCGGGGCUUAACUUCGCGCGUGCAGUGGGUACGGGCAGGCUUGAGUGUGGUAGGGGUGACUGGAAUUCCAGGUGUAGCGGUGGAAUGCGCAGAUAUCUGGAGGAACACCGAUGGCGAAGGCAGGUCACUGGGCCAUUACUGACGCUGAGGAGCGAAAGCAUGGGUAGCGAACAGG
rnacentral:rRNA from 1 species